UACGAAGGGGGCUAGCGUUGCUCGGAAUCACUGGGCGUAAAGCGCACGUAGGCGGAUUGUUAAGUCAGGGGUGAAAUCCUGGAGCUCAACUCCAGAACUGCCUUUGAUACUGGCGAUCUUGAGUCCGGGAGAGGUGAGUGGAACUCCGAGUGUAGAGGUGAAAUUCGUAGAUAUUCGGAAGAACACCAGUGGCGAAGGCGGCUCACUGGCCCGGUACUGACGCUGACGUGCGAAAGCGUGGGGAGCAAACAGG
rnacentral:rRNA from 1 species